GCUAUGGCAAUACCACCCUGAAUGAACCCAGUCUCAUCUGAUCUUGGAAACUAACCAGGGUCGGGCCUGGUUACUACGUGGAUGGGAGAAAGUAGGCUGAAAAGCA
rnacentral:rRNA from 1 species